AGAGUUUGAUCAUGGCUCAGGACGAACGCUGGCGGCGUGCUUAAUACAUGCAAGUCGAGCGAGGUUACUGCGACAGAUCCCUUCGGGGUGAAGUUGCUUUAACCUAGCGGCGGACGGGUGAGUAACGCGUGGGUAACCUACCCUAAAGUUCGGGAUAACAGCGGGAAACCGCUGCUAAUACCGGAUGCCUUUACCGUGUGGCAUCACAGGGUAAAGAAAGGUAACGCUUUAGGAUGGGCCCGCGUCCCAUUAGCUAGUUGGUGAGGUAACAGCUCACCAAGGCGACGAUGGGUAGCCGGCCUGAGAGGGUGGACGGCCACACUGGGACUGAGACACGGCCCAGACUCCUACGGGAGGCAGCAGUAGGGAAUAUUGCGCAAUGGACGGAAGUCUGACGCAGCGACGCCGCGUGAGCGAUGAAGGCCUUCGGGUUGUAAAGCUCUGUCCUUGGGGAAGAAGGUCUUCGGACUUGACGGUACCCAAGAAGAAAGCCCCGGCUAACUACGUGCCAGCAGCCGCGGUAAUACGUAGGGGGCGAGCGUUGUCCGGAAUUACUGGGCGUAAAGGGUGCGUAGGCGGCCCUUUAAGUCAGAUGUGAAAGCCCGCAGCUUAACUGCGGAAUUGCAUUUGAAACUGGAGGGCUUGAGUGUCGGAGAGGGUAGUGGAAUUCCCAGUGUAGCGGUGAAAUGCGUA
rnacentral:rRNA from 1 species